rnacentral:rRNA from 1 species
GACGGAGGAUGCAAGCGUUAUCCGGAAUCACUGGGCGUAAAGCGUCUGUAGGUGGUCAAAUAAGUCAACUGUUAAAUCUUGAGGCUCAACCUCGAAAUCGCAGUCGAAACUGUUAGUCUAGAGUAUAGUAGGGGUAAAGGGAAUUUCCAGUGGAGCGGUGAAAUGCGUAGAGAUUGGAAAGAACACCGAAGGCGAAGGCGCUUUACUGGGCUAUUACUAACACUCAGAGACGAAAGCUAGGGUAGCAAAUGGG